rnacentral:rRNA from 1 species
GAUUAUAUAUCUUGUUAAUUUUAUAAUUUACAAUAAUUUAUAAAUGAAAAAUAAUUUUAAUAAUUAUAAUUAGUAACUUUUAAUGAAAUUUAUAAAACUAUAAAGUAUAAGUACUGUAAAGGAAAGAAAAGUUAUAUUAAAAAAAAAAGAAAAAAUUAAAUUUUGUACCUUGUGUAUUAGGGAAGUUUUAUAUAGUUAAAAUAAUAAAUUUAAAUCUCGAAAUAAAAAUAGUUAAUUUUAUAAAAGAGUUUUUAUAGGAUAAAAAUUUUUAAUAUAAAAUUAAAGAUGAAAUGUUAAACGAGUUUUAUUAUAUCUAGUUUUUUAAAAUAAAAAUUUAAUUUGGAUUUUAUAUAAAUAAAUGAUAUAAAAAAAUAAAAUAGAAAGGUAAAGCUUUUUAUUAUAAUAAUAUGAAAUAGUAAAUUAUUAUAAUAUAAUUAAUCUAAGCUUAAAAGUAGUUAUGUUUAUAAAGUGUUUUAACUAAGUUAUUGUAAAUAUAUUUUUACUUUUCUUAAAUAUUAAAAAUUUAUUUAAAAUAAAAAAAAAUAAGGUAGAAUGAUUUUAUUAGUAGAGUAAUUAGUUAUUGGAUAAUUAAAUAGAAUAGAUUUAAGAUUAAUAAAUGUAAAAUAAUGGAUAAUUUAAAGGAAUUUGGCAAAUAAUUUUCUUGCCUGUUUAUCAAAAACAUGUCUAUUUGAAGAUAUAGGAAGUUUGGCCUGCUCACUGAUUAGAGUGUAAUUCAAGAGCCGCGGUAUUAUGACCGUGCAAAGGUAGCAUAAUCAUUAGGUUUUUAAAUGGAAUCUUGUAUGAAUGGUCGGACAAAGGAGAUACUGUCUUUAUAUUAAAUUUGAAUUUUACUUUUAAGUGAAAAGGCUUAAAUAUUCUAAGGGGACGAUAAGACCCUAUAAAACUUUACAUUAUAAUUAUAUUUGAUUAAAUUUUAUUAUAAAAAUUUAAUAUUGUUAUUUGUUGUGUUGGGGAGACAAAAGUAGAAAUUGUAUUAGCUGCUUAACAAAUAAACAUUUAUUAAUGUAUAAUAAAUUUAUAGAUCCUAUUUAAAGAUUUAAAGAUUAAGUUACUUUAGGGAUAACAGUGUUAUUUUAUUUGAGAGUUCUUAUCGAAAAGAAAGUUUGCAACCUCGAUGUUGAAUUAAAAUAUCUUUAUAAUGUAGUUGUUAUAUUAGAAAGUCUGUUCGACCUUAA